rnacentral:tRNA from 1 species
CUCGGUGUAGCUCAGUUGUGAGAGCGCCUGCUUUGGGAGCAGGAAGUCAGAGGUUCGAGCCCUCUCAUCGAGACCA